GGCGGAGACAUCCUUGAGGUCUUUGCUGCCAAACCUUUCAGCCUCAGAGCUGGAGCCAGAGACAGAAUCCUAGCAUAACUGUUCUCUGAGAAGCUCUACAAAACAGCUGAUCCAAACAGAUGCAGAGACCCACAGCCAAACCGUAUAUGGAGCUUGGGGAGUUUCGUGAAAGAAUCAGGAAAAGUGUUGAGGGACCAGAAGAGGAUAGGGACUCCACAGAAUACCAACAUAGUCAACUCACCUGGACCUUUGAUGCCACCCAGAGACUGAAUGGCCAACCAAAGACCAAACAUGGACUAGACCUAAGAACCCUGCAUAUAUGUAGCAGAUGUACAGCUUAGACUUCAUGCAGGUCCUCCAACAACUGGAAGAGGAGAUGCCCCUGAAUUUGUUGCCUAUUUGUGGACCUCAUUACCCUAACUGGACUACAUUAUCUAGUCUCAGUGAGAGAUGAUGUACCUAGUGAUGUAGUGCAGUGAGUGAUAUGCUAUGGUUUUGUGUGUGUGUGUGUGUGUGUGUGUGUGUGUGUGUGUGUGUGUUUGAUACCCAGAGAGUUCCCCCUUCUUAGAGUAUAAGGGGAAGGAGGAAUGGAGGGAGGAUCUGUGAGGGGGAACUGGGAGGAGG
rnacentral:lncRNA from 1 species